CAGCCAGCAACUGCUACCCUCUUUGGGUCCCCUCCAUUUGUAUGCGAGCUCUGUUUUCACUCUAUUUCACUCUAUUAAAUCUCCCAACUGCACUCUUCUGGUCUGUGUUUGUUACGGCUGGAGCUGAGCUUUCGCUCGCCGUCCACCAUUGCUGUUUGCCGCCGCCACAGACCUGCCGCUGACUUCCAUCCCUCCGGAUCCGGCAGGGUGUCUGCUGUGCUCCUGAUCCAGUGAGGCGCCCCUUGCCGCUCCCGAUUGGGCUAACGGCUUGAGAUUGCUCCUGCACGGCUAAGUGCCCAGGCAAUGACACUCCAACAGCAAUGAGCAUGUCUAAUGCAGAAAUCUUGGUUUCUAACACCAUCCUUCAAUAAAAGGAAUCAAGGAUCCUUGGAGAAGCAGGUGAUUGUAAGACGGGCAGAAGAUAUACAAGACGACCCUGCAGCAUCUUGUAGUGCCUGAAAGUAAGAAAGUGUUCAAAACAAAUCUACAUUGAUGGAGGCAUGAAAGCCAACUGAAAGAGCUCCCAAUGGUCAAAACUGGAAAGAUUCGAGGGAGAAAUGACUGCCAUAAGAUAACCAGCAGUGUUUGCCACACCGGGUAAUAACGUGGAUUAUGUUUCAGAUGGAACUUCUUUCACCUGCCCUCCCCUGGCCACUUGCUAUCUGAGCAUUUAUUGAGCACCCAUUUUGUGUUAGUGCUGAGAAUAUGAUGUUGAACAAAAUAUGGUCCUUGACCUCAGGAGUCAUGGUGCUCUCAUUAGGUGGUCUGGUGGAGAGAGGUGUUGCUAACGUAAGGAGGCAGGAAAAAUUCAAGAAGUGAGGGAGUUAGGGGUAAGUAUGUCCAAGGCAGUGAAAAAGGGAUUAUUUAGGUAUUAAUGAGGCUUUAGGGCCUUCAAAAUCAGGAACCGAAUCACCUUUCCUCAGCAUGUAUAUAUAUGUAUAUAUAUACAUAUAUAUAUACACACAUAUAUAUAUAUUCCCCAGCAUGUAUAUAUGUGUGUGUGUAUAUAUAUAUACGUGUAUAUAUAUAUAUAUAUAUACGUAUAUAUAUAUAUGAUAGUCCUGAGGUGGUAAUGAUACUGAUGGGCUGGGGUAGGUCCACAAACACUAGUGGGACCUUGACCUCAACCGGUAUCCAGGCUCUUGACACCAUCACAAGAAGAAAUUCAGGGAUGAGUCAGAAAAUAGUGAAAAGAUGAAGAUUUAUUGCAAAGCGAAAAGUACACACUCAAGAAAGGGGAGUGCAGGUGUACUCAAGAGAGUUGCACACAAGGUUUUCGGGUACUAUCUUUAUGGGUUUCUGUAACCAAGGGGUGACAUAUUCAUGAAGAUUCCUGGAAAAAGGUGAAGAUUUCUCAAAACUGUGGUGCCACCCACUUUUGCACUAAAUAAUGGGUGUUCCUGGAAGUGUCAUGGUGCUGGUGGGCAUGUGAUUACGUUAAUGAGCAUAUAAUGAGGUUCUAGGAGAAACCUACGUCAAAUCCAGUGACAUGUUGGGUUCAGUCAGUCUUAGCCAUCUUGGUCCACACCCUGUUUCUCAGGGUCUUAUCAGCCCAUAGCCUCUGCAGCUAUUUCAACAGUUGCCUUUUGCUAGUCAUAUGAAAUUGUUGCCUGGAAUUUUCUAAUCUCCUACGGCCACCUUAUAUUAUUCCUCUCUCAGUAGUAUAACUCUGACUAUAAAAUUAAGAUCUAAUCAUCUACAGCACUCAUAGACAUUAUCUUUAAACUAAUUCCACAGGCAAAAGGCUAAUUACAGGGUUUUUGUAGCCUUUUGUUGGUAUAUAGAACUCUAUAUGCUGUAUGUUUUUAUGGAGGCUGCCUGGAAUUUGCUGUAUUGUUUCUGAGGCUGUCCUUUACACUUCAAAAAUUUCUUAUGAGCAUUUAUGUCAAGAUUAAGGAAGCCAAGGUAAUAGAAAUAGGCCAACACUUGGUGAAUUAUUGGAAAGUUUAUAUAGGCAGCUACAUACAUAAGAUUAGCCAUCCUUGGAAGAUUGAACUCAUUUCAUUUACUCUCUCCCCAAUAAUAAUGAAGAUUCUACAAUGGAAACAGGAGUAAAUAUGUAAUGUAUUUUUUAUUGAUAUUAAAAUACAUGAGAUAAUAUUAUUUGUAUUUCCAGACUUGAGGCCAUCCUCUGUAUCUCCACCCCUGACCACUCCCUUGACCACAUACAUAUCCAGUUACCUAGAGCACUGGAUGACCGGCAAGCAUCUCAAGUCUCAAAUGCAACUACUCAAGCUCCUUCCUCCCUCACUCAUGCUGCAUCUCAAGAAGAUGUAAGCCAAUUAUCCAGAGGCACUGAGGGUCCUAUGCGACUGCACCAUCAUAUCCCACAACCUGCUAUUCACUGUUAUUCUGCUUGUCCAGUCCAUCUCCCUCCUCUCAAUCUCCCCUCUGCCCUAGUUCAGGCUGCCAUCAUUUAUUCGUUUAUUUGUUCAGUAAGUAUUUCUUGAGUACAUAUCAUGUGCCAUUCAUAUUCUGUGCCUCAAAUAGAAUAAGCAGUGAACAAAACACUCAGUGAACGUCACUGAACAAAACUGACACAAAACCUGCCUUCACAGAGUUUGCAUUCAGGUGGAAAGGGAAAUAAAACAGAUAAGCAAAAUACACAUUGCUAGAAAGUUAUGGGUGUAUAGGAGAAAAAAUAAAGCAGAGAAGAAGGACAUGACAUUUAGAGGUGGGGUUGAAAGGUCUCAAUAAGGAGGUGACUUUUGUGUAGACUUGAGAAGGAAAUGAGGGGGCUAGCGUUGUGGAUAUCUGGGGCAAAGCCUCCAGAGGAAAGAGUAUGGUAAAAGUCCCUGGAGUGAGAUUAUGCCUGGCCUGUUCUAGGCAUGGCAAAGGGGCCAGUGGGAAUGGAGUAAAGUGAGCAAGGAGGAAAGGAGUAGAGAGGGAUGGAGUGAAGUCAGAGAGCUAAUAAAGACAAGAUGCCGUAGGUCAUUUUCUCAGUGAAUGGGAAGCAAAGCCAUCAACUGAGAAUUGAAGUGAUGUUCCUGUAAACAAUUUAGUACCUUUGCCUUUUUUGUUUGUUUGUUUUGUUUUUCUUGGUACCUUUGCAUUUUGAGGCACAUUUUUAUACCUAUUUGUUGGAGAUUCACCUAGGGAUAGAAAUGUGGGGUUGUAUAGGAUGUAAAUGGAAUCAAAUAGAUUUUUUAGGAUUAAAUUUUUUCUGAUUUUAAAAGUAGGAAAUACAAAAGUGUUUAAAGAAGUAAAUAUCACCUGUGACCACCUCUCCCAGAAAUAAGUAUAUUUUAUAAGUAUACUUUAAUAUAUUUUAUUUAAGUAUAUUAAUUUUUCAAUGUGAUUAAUGCCAAAAGGAGAGUAUAAGCCAAUUUUAUGUAUAGCUUGAUUACAAUUAUAAAAAUGUGCUUAGAGAAAAAAGGAUCAGAAAGGAGCAUAACAAUAUGCUAACGGGUUAUGUUAGUAAAAAUAUAUGUGACUUCCUUUCUCUAUUUCUAAAAAUGUCUGCAAUCUUAUAAUAUUCUUAAUGAGAAAAAUUAAUUUUACAAGCUUUUUAAAAAUAGCUUUUUUUUUUUUUGUUUUUAAACAAAGAUAUUUGUUUUGGCAGUCCUCAAAGGAAACUUCUAGAAUUACUAUACAACUGUAUUGACCUAGCGUUUGCCAGAAUAAUUCUUUUUUUCAUUCAUUGUGACAUGGUACACCACUUUAUAGGACUGGAUUUGCAUAGAAAAUACUAUUGAAAUAACAGAAGGUACCUAUUACUGCCUGUAUAUUCUGCCAACGUUUAGGAAAUACUGCCACCAGGUGGAUGGUAGGAAUUUAGCUUUUGUCCCUUGAUUUCAUGUAUCCUUCCUGUUGCCUUAAUUCUGUACAGAAAGUAAGAACAGACAAAACUGACUCUCUGUGUGUGUGUAUGUGUGUGUGUGUGUUUAAACACUGGGGGCUUUGGUUGAACCAGGAGGGUAAGCUCAGACAGUUGCUUAUGUAUGUGUGAACCAAGGAGGAAAGAUGAAAUCCCAACUAAGAGGACAGCUGAAGUGGAAAUCUUGGACAGACUGGAUUUCACAUCCAGCACACUGAGUAAUGCAUGCUGAUUCUAAUUUUAGGGUCUAUCCUAAAGAAAUAAUUAUGGAUACUUUAAGAUUUAACACUGAUGCUGCAAAGACUUAACAUUGGUGUUUAUUGCAGUGUUUAUUUUUACUAAGUAAAACAAGAAUCUAAAUAUCUUGCGAUUGAGGAUUAAUUGAAUAAAUAAUGAUACGUCUCUGCAAUUAACCACUCUUUGACCAUUAAAAUGAGGUUUAAAAGUAUGUAAUGACAAUGAAUGAUGUUUAUGAUAUACUUUUGAGUGAAAAAUGGAGAUAACAAAGUAGUAUAUGCCACACACAGCUAAAAAACUAUAAGGGUAUACAUAAAAAUAUUAGCAAUAACAAUAGUAAUUAACAUAUAUUCAGUGCUUACUAUGUGCCAGAGAAAUUAAAAUACCUAUCUUGGACCUGCCUUGUCCUCCCUUCUCUAAUUUAGUCCUUCUAGUGCUUCUCACUGCUUUUAUAUCAGUUUCUAUUGGGCUCUAGACCCUUUGGAAAAUCUUGUAGAGCAUAUGGGCCCCAGAGAGACAUUUAAAAACACAUAAUAUGAAAUACAAAGCAUUAAACAGGAAAUCAAUUACAUUGGAAUACAGUUAUUAAAAUAUCAAAAAAUCAAAUUUGUGAUAUAGUUUUAUAUAUACACAUACAUCUUUUUUUAUUAUUAUACUUUAAGUUCUAGGGUAGAUGUGCACAACGUGCAGGUUUGUUUACAUGUGCCAUGUUGGUUUGCUGCACCCAUCAACUCAUCAUUUACAUUAGGUAUUUCUCCUAAUGCUGUCCCUCCCCCAGCCCCCCAUCCCCCAACAGGCCCCAGUGUGUGAUGUUCCCCACCCUGUGUCCAAGUGUUCUUAUUGUUCAGUUCCCACCUAUGAGUGAGAACAUGCAACGUUUGGUUUUCUGUCUUUGUGAUAGUUUGCUGGGAAUGAUGGUUUCCAGCUUCAUCCAUGUCCCUGCAAAGGACAUGAACUCGUCCUUUUUUAUAGCUGCAUAGUAUUCCAUGGUGUAUAUGUGCCACAUUUUUCUUAAUCCAGCCUAUCAUUGAUGGACAUUUGGGUUAGUUCCAAGUUUUUGCUAUUGUGAAUAGUGCCGCAAUAAACAUACGUGUGCAUGUGUCUUUAUAGUAGCAUGAUUUAUAAUCCUAUAGGUAUAUACCUAUACCUAUAGGUAUAGGUAUUGGUAUAGGUAUUGGUAUAGGUAUAGGUACAGGUAUACCUAUACCAAUCCCAGUAAUGGGAUUGCUGGGUCAAAUGGUAUUUGUAGUUCUAGAUCCUUCAGGAAUUGCCACACUGUCUUCCACAAUGGUUGAACUAAUUUAUACUCCCACAAACAGUGUAAAAGUGUUCCUAUUUCUCCAC
rnacentral:lncRNA from 1 species